GAUGAACGCUGGCGGCGUGCCUAAUACAUGCAAGUCGAGCGAACAGACGAGGAGCUUGCUCCUCUGACGUUAGCGGCGGACGGGUGAGUAACACGUGGAUAACCUACCUAUAAGACUGGGAUAACUUCGGGAAACCGGAGCUAAUACCGGAUAAUAUAUUGAACCGCAUGGUUCAAUAGUGAAAGACGGUUUUGCUGUCACUUAUAGAUGGAUCCGCGCCGCAUUAGCUAGUUGGUAAGGUAACGGCUUACCAAGGCAACGAUGCGUAGCCGACCUGAGAGAGUGAUCGGCCACACUGGAACUGAGCCACGGUCCAGACUCCUACGGGAGGCAGCAGUAGGGAAUCUUCCGCAAUGGGCGAAAGCCUGACGGAGCAACGCCGCGUGAGUGAUGAAGGUCUUCGGAUCGUAAAACUCUGUUAUUAGGGAAGAACAAAUGUGUAAGUAACUAUGCACGUCUUGACGGUACCUAAUCAGAAAGCCACGGCUAACUACGUG
rnacentral:rRNA from 1 species